UGCAUUAAUUUUUAUUUUCUUGCUUUACAGUGUGCAUUCCUCUUACAAGAAGCACCUCACGAAAGAAGAAGUGAAAAGCAAAUAUUUAUCUAAAGAAAGGGCUGCAAAGUGAUGGAGAGAUUUGAGAGACUGAUCAGUUUUCCUGAAUCAGAGCUCACUCUCCAAGCAGCUGCAACAGAUGUUUCUGGAUUAUACUGAGCAGCCAGAGCAUGAAAAAAAAUCCUGUGUAGGAACAGAAACAGGAGAAAAUGAUGGUACUUGACUCCAGGAAAAUAAACCCAGAACUUGACAGAUUCAGGUGUGAGCUCUGAAAUAUUCUAUAAUCCCUUACGAACGGUGCAAAAGAUUCACAAAUUCCAACUACUGCAUAAAGUGGCAAAAAUUAACAUCUUCAAGACUGUCACUGAGAUGGGUAGACAUCUCCCCCUCCCCAGCCCCAGCAGGCUGGGC